GUCAUAACUUUGUCCGGAGUUUGUCGCGUCUGCUGUGAAAACGCGGGGCUCAACUCCGCGCCUGCAGUGGGUACGGGCAGACUAGAGUGUGGUAGGGGAGAUUGGAAUUCCUGGUGUAGCGGUGGAAUGCGCAGAUAUCAGGAGGAACACCGAUGGCGAAGGCAGAUCUCUGGGCCGUGACUGACGCUGAGGAGCGAAAGGGUGGGGAGCAAACAGGCUUAGAUACCCUGGUAGUCCACCCCGUAAACGUUGGGAACUAGUUGUGGGGGCCUUUCCACGGUCUCCGUGACGCAGCUAACGCAUUAAGUUCCCCGCCUGGGGAGUACGGCCGCAAGGCUAAAACUCAAAGGAAUUGACGGGGACCCGCACAAGCGGCGGAGCAUGCGGAUUAAUUCGAUGCAACGCGAAGAACCUUACCAAGGCUUGACAUACACCGGAAACGUCCAGAGAUGGUCGCCCCUUUUUGGUCGGUGUACAGGUGGUGCAUGGUUGUCGUCAGCUCGUGUCGUGAGAUGUUGGGUUAAGUCCCGCAACGAGCGCAACCCUCGUUCUAUGUUGCCAGCACGUUAUGGUGGGAACUCAUG
rnacentral:rRNA from 1 species